rnacentral:rRNA from 1 species
UUUUAGUUUGAUCCUGGCUCAGGAUGAACGCUGGCGGCGUGCCUAAUACAUGCAAGUCGAGCGAAUGGAUUAAGAGCUUGCUCUUAUGAAGUUAGCGGCGGACGGGUGAGUAACACGUGGGUAACCUGCCCAUAAGACUGGGAUAACUCCGGGAAACCGGGGCUAAUACCGGAUAACAUUUUGAACUGCAUGGUUCGAAAUUGAAAGGCGGCUUCGGCUGUCACUUAUGGAUGGACCCGCGUCGCAUUGGCUAGUUGGUGAGGUAACGGCUCACCAAGGCAACGAUGCGUAGCCGACCUGAGAGGGUGAUCGGCCACACUGGGACUGAGACACGGCCCAGACUCCUACGGGAGGCAGCAGUAGGGAAUCUUCCGCAAUGGACGAAAGUCUGACGGAGCAACGCCGCGUGAGUGAUGAAGGCUUUCGGGUCGUAAAACUCUGUUGUUAGGGAAGAACAAGUGCUAGUUGAAUAAGCUGGCACCUUGACGGUACCUAACCAGAAAGCCACGGCUAACUACGUGCCAGCAGCCGCGGUAAUACGUAGGUGGCAAGCGUUAUCCGGAAUUAUUGGGCGUAAAGCGCGCGCAGGUGGUUUCUUAAGUCUGAUGUGAAAGCCCACGGCUCAACCGUGGAGGGUCAUUGGAAACUGGGAGACGGGAGUCCGGAAGAGGAAC